rnacentral:rRNA from 1 species
UCCCUCUAGAUCGSUCUAMMUGCAGUCGAGCGAUGAGCUUCCUUCGGGAAGUGGAUUAGCGGCGGACGGGUGAGUAACACGUGGGUAACCUGCCUCARAGUGGGGGAUAGCCUUCCGAAWGGAAGAUUAAUACCGCAUAACAUAAGAGAAUCGCAUGAUUUUCUUAUCAAAGAUUUAUUGCUUUGAGAUGGACCCGCGGCGCAUUAGCUAGUUGGUAAGGUAACGGCUUACCAAGGCAACGAUGCGUAGCCGACCUGAGAGGGUGAUCGGCCACAUUGGAACUGAGACACGGUCCAGACUCCUACGGGAGGCAGCAGUGGGGAAUAUUGCGCAAUGGGGGAAACCCUGACGCAGCAACGCCGCGUGGGUGAUGAAUGUCUUCGGAUUGUAAAGCCCUGUUUUCUGGGACGAUAAUGACGGUACCAGAGGAGGAAGCCACGGYUAACUACGUGCCAGCAGCCGCGGUAAUACGUAGGUGGYGAGCGUUGUCCGGAUUUACUGGGCGUAAAGGGUGCGUAGGCGGAUGUUUAAGUGGGAUGUGAAAUCCCCGGGCUUAACCUGGGGGCUGCAUUCCAAACUGGAUAUCUAGAGUGCAGGAGAGGAAAGCGGAAUUCCUAGUGUAGCGGUGAAAUGCGUAGAGAUUAGGAAGAACACCAGUGGCGAAAGGCGGCUUUCUGGACUGUAACUGACGCUGAGGCACGAAAGCGUGGGUAGCAACAGGAUUAGAUACCCUGGUAGUCCACGCCGUAACGAUGGAUACUAGUGUAGGGGGUAUCAACUCCCCCUGUGCGCAGUUAACACAAUAAGUAUCCCGCCUGGGGGAGUACGGUCGCAGAUAAACUCAAGGAUUGGACGGGGACCCGCMMAAGCAGCGGARCAUGGKGUUAAUU